UACGUAGGUGGCAAGCGUUGUUCGGAAUUAUUGGGCGUAAAGCGCGCGCAGGCGGUCCUUUAAGUCUGAUGUGAAAGCCCACGGCUCAACCGUGGAGGGUCAUUGGAAACUGGGGGACUUGAGUACAGAAGAGAAGAGUGGAAUUCCACGUGUAGCGGUGAAAUGCGUAGAGAUGUGGAGGAACACACGUGGCGAAGGCGGCAUUCCUGGCUGAUAACUGACGCUGAGGCGCGAAAGCGUGGGGAGCAAA
rnacentral:rRNA from 1 species